rnacentral:misc_RNA from 1 species
GUAGGUGAACCUGCGGAAGGAUCAUUAAUGGUGCUUGCAGAAAUGCUUGCACGGCGGCGGCCUUAAAACGCGCCAAAUGGCACCCUUUGUUUAUGAGUACCGUUCGUUUCCUCGGCAGGCUUGCCUGCCAGUAGGACCCCUUUCAACCCUUUGCAGUUGCAGUCAGCGUCAGAAAAUAACAUAAUCGUUACAACUUUCAACAACGGAUCUCUUGGUUCUG